UACGUAGGGGGCAAGCGUUAUCCGGAUUUACUGGGUGUAAAGGGAGCGUAGGUGGUUCGGUAAGUCAGAUGUGAAAGCCCGGGGCUCAACCCCGGGACUGCAUUUGAAACUAUCGAACUAGAGUGCAGGAGAGGUAAGUGGAAGUCCUAGUGUAGCGGUGAAAUGCGUAGAUAUUAGGAGGAACACCAGUGGCGAAGGCGGCUUACUGGACUGUAACUGACACUGAGGCUCGAAAGCGUGGGGAGCAAACAGG
rnacentral:rRNA from 1 species